UACAGAGGUCUCAAGCGUUGUUCGGAUUCAUUGGGCGUAAAGGGUGCGUAGGCGGCGCGGUAAGUCGGGUGUGAAAUCUCGGAGCUUAACUCCGAAACUGCAUUCGAUACUGCCGUGCUUGAGGACUGGAGAGGAGACUGGAAUUUACGGUGUAGCGGUGAAAUGCGUAGAGAUCGGGAGGAAUACCGGUGGCGAAAGCGACUCUCUGGACGGCAACUGACGCUGAGGCACGAAAGCGUGGGGAGCAAACAGG
rnacentral:rRNA from 1 species